rnacentral:tRNA from 3 species
GCGCUUGUAGCUCAGUGGAUAGAGCGCAGCCUUGCGGAGGCUGAAGUCGCAGGUUCGAAUCCUGUCAAGCGCG